UUCAUGGGUGAGGAUUGCAAGGAGUUCUGUGAACACAGAGGUCUGGGGUGAGGGGUGCCCUGCAGACUCUGGGCAACUCCGCAGCAGUAUAACCAGCUGAGGUCUGAGAGUUCACCAGAGGAGCUUUUAGCCACAGGAAGCUCAGCCCAGCCAAGGUAGAAAGGCUAGCAGAUCUGAUCCAUAGGGCAACCCAGGCACUCAGAGGCAGCAGGCCCCAAGACAGCUGGAUGAAAAGCAAAACCAACUGUACAGUGGAUGGGCAAAGAUCCUCAAAUCAAGGCUCUGGCUCACACAGAGGCCUAUAACAACUUUGGGAAGGGUGAUGGCUUGGAAGAGGACAUCCUGGAGUAGGCAGAUGGCCAAGUGGGAGCUCUGAGGGUGGUACCUGGUGCAAAUGCCAAGUGGGCAGAAGCUCUGUUUGGGGGCCUAUGUUGUAAUCAGUGAACGACACUGCAUGCCCACAAAACAAAACUCAGUGAACUUUUCAGUUCAAAGCCUGUGCCCAUUGUGUCCCAAGAGCCAGGGACCAUCACCUGUGAUAUGCUAUGGAUCUAGCCACAGUUCCCAGCAUCGCUGAGGACUAUAGGCAGGUUGAGAGAAGGUACAGGGUUGCUGGAAUAGGAGAGUGAGCGGUGUGCCCAUCCACAACAGGUCGGAGCAGGCUGAUACCAUUCUGCUAAUGUUAGAUGCCUCCUUCCAGCCUGAACUCCCUAGAUACCUUGGGAGUUCCCCUAGAAGCCAGUAGCUCAGAUGACUGCAAUUGGCACCUCCUGCAGACACUGAAUGAAUCCAACCUAUAGCCCUUAAUACUGCUCUGUGUCUCGCCCUCUCAACUGCCACUGUUAUACCUGACUGGGAAGAGAUGGACAGCCUUUUGAAGGCCCUAAAGAGGGAGCUGUCUGCAAUGGAUGGGCACCAAUUGACAGGCCCACCAGGUGCUCCUGACUUGGGCAGAGUUUUGGCAUCACAUCCAGCACUGUCUGGAUGCUCUUGACCACUCUAAGCUGGCCACAGACUUGGCAGUAGUGGUUGGAGAGUGUGAGUGACACAGGCAGCUGAGCCACCUCACUGGUAGAGGAGACCCUGAGAAGACCCUCAAUAUC
rnacentral:lncRNA from 1 species